AUUGAACGCUGGCGGCAUGCUUUACACAUGCAAGUCGAACGGUAACAGGCCGCAAGGUGCUGACGAGUGGCGAACGGGUGAGUAAUGCAUCGGAACGUGCCCAGUCGUGGGGAUAACGCAGCGAAAGCUGCGCUAAUACCGCAUACGAUCUAUGGAUGAAAGCGGGGGACCGAAAGGCCUCGCGCGAUUGGAGCGGCCGAUGUCAGAUUAGGUAGUUGGUGGGGUAAAGGCCCACCAAGCCAACGAUCUGUAGCUGGUCUGAGAGGACGACCAGCCACACUGGGACUGAGACACGGCCCAGACUCCUACGGGAGGCAGCAGUGGGGAAUUUUGGACAAUGGGCGCAAGCCUGAUCCAGCAAUGCCGCGUGCAGGAAGAAGGCCUUCGGGUUGUAAACUGCUUUUGUACGGAACGAAACGGUCCGGGUUAAUACCCUGGGCUAAUGACGGUACCGUAAGAAUAAGCACCGGCUAACUACGUGCCAGCCGCCGCAGUAAUAC
rnacentral:rRNA from 1 species